UACAGGGGGGGCAAGCGUUGUUCGGAAUUACUGGGCGUAAAGGGCUCGUAGGCGGCCAACUAAGUCCGACGUGAAAUCCCAAAGCUUAACUUUGGAACUGCGUCGGAUACUGGAUGGCUUGAAUUCGGGAGAGGGAUGCAGAAUUCCAGGUGUAGCGGUGAAAUGCGUAGAUAUCUGGAGGAACACCGGUGGCGAAGGCGGCAUCCUGGACCGGUAUUGACGCUGAGGCGCGAAAGCCAGGGGAGCAAACGGGG
rnacentral:rRNA from 1 species